UACGAAGGGGGCUAGCGUUGUUCGGAUUUACUGGGCGUAAGGCGCACGUAGGCGGAUCGAUCAGUCAGGGGUGAAAUCCCAGGGCUCAACCCUGGAACUGCCUUUGAUACUGUCGAUCUGGAGUAUGGAAGAGGUGAGUGGAAUUCCGAGUGUAGAGGUGAAAUUCGUAGAUAUUCGGAGGAACACCAGUGGCGAAGGCGGCUCACUGGUCCAUUACUGACGCUGAGGUGCGAAAGCGUGGGGAGCAAACAGG
rnacentral:rRNA from 1 species